UCGGCGCCAUUUUGUCUGAGCGGCGGUGGUCGCAGCUCUAUCGCAUUUUACGUUUCUGGAGAGACGAGAGCCGACUGUGUAUCCUGUAGAUUCAUUUUAGUGCGGCACCUAUCCACGGUUCACUCCAGGACAGCACCUAGUGAAGGUCGGAGGAGUCGCGAACCUGUCAACAGGUCGGUUGGAAGCUGUGGCUGUCCGAGUGACUAGGGGAUGGCGCAGCUUUAGCGGCACCGGCACCGGAAGUGGACGGGCCGCGCGGCGGCCAUGGCAAAGUGGUCUGAAGAAAACCAAAAUCUCUCAGUGACAUAUCCUAAAGUAUUACUGAGAAUAAACCUCAUUUUGUGGGAAAAUGAAGGAAGAUGUUCCAGUUUUAAAAGACCUGGAUCUACUGUUGAAAAUUCUGUUUCUGGUCCCUUUAUGAAUGAUGGAAAUAGAAGCAAAUGGAUAGUCUUAAUCAGAUAAGUGCUUUAAUAGUCUAAAUAUAUUUUUUGUAAUCCCUAAACUAAAACUUGAUUCUUUAAAACAUUUUUGAUUUCUCUUU